rnacentral:rRNA from 1 species
UUGAACGCUGGCGGCAUGCCUUACACAUGCAAGUCGAACGGCAGCACGGGAGCUUGCUCCUGGUGGCGAGUGGCGAACGGGUGAGUAAAGUAUCGGAACGUACCUUUCAGUGGGGGAUAACGUAGCGAAAGUUACGCUAAUACCGCAUAUUCUGUGAGCAGGAAAGCAGGGGAUCGCAAGACCUUGCGCUGAUUGAGCGGCCGAUAUCAGAUUAGCUAGUUGGUGGGGUAAAGGCCUACCAAGGCGACGAUCUGUAGCGGGUCUGAGAGGAUGAUCCGCCACACUGGAACUGAGACACGGUCCAGACUCCUACGGGAGGCAGCAGUGGGGAAUAUUGGACAAUGGGCGAAAGCCUGAUCCAGCCAUGCCGCGUGUGUGAAGAAGGCCUUCGGGUUGUAAAGCACUUUAAGCGGGGAGGAAGGGCUUCUGGCUAAUAGCCACGAUGAUGACGGUAUCCCCUUAGCAAGCACCGGCUAACUCUGUG